UCCUAAGAGAUUGGGGAAGUGUUGGAUAUCAUAUAAAUUCAGAGAAGCCUAAAACUAGAAGUUGCUAUAUCAAAGGUGAAGAUUCAAACGAAGGUUGAGUACGGGGCCAUUUGAUGUCCCGAUGACUGACUCGGUAGGAGGUAAUCUCUUGGCAUCUUGUAGUUAUUUGGUUACAUUUUAAAGCAUGACUGAACCUGAAGAUAUCGAUGACGAAGUAGCCAAAAAAUGGGAACACACGAUGCUGCAUGAUAGCUUGGGCAAAGAGUUGAAUGAAUUAAACAAACAACCAGAGAAAAAGGAGAUCUCAGGCUUCAUAACUUUGGAACAUUCCUUUGGAUUCCUGUGUUGAUUCCUCACCUUUGCUUGUGCUGAACAAUGGGAUGAUGAACAUAUAUAUUGGAUCUCAUUCACAACUACUUCUGUGCAUUGAUGGUUACAGUACCACACGACAAGAAACCCCUGGCGCAGAAAGGAAGCCCUGACGUAUCGAAGCAAAAGGAAGUGCUAUGCUGGUGAAGAACUACUUGGAUUAGCAUAGGGAGCAGUGGAAGAGAGGCAGGAACGAUAAGAAGAUCAAGAAGUAGUAAUUUUUUUGCUAGGGCUUGAAACACUACAAAAUUCCAUGUCCUUGUUGCUGUGUUGUACCAUGA